CCCGCUGAACUUAAGCAUAUCAAUAAGCGGAGGAAAAGAAACCAACAGGGAUUGCCUCAGUAACUGCGAGUGAAGCGGCAAAAGCUCAAAUUUGAAAUCUGGUACCUCUGGGUGCUCGAGUUGUAAUUUGGAGAGGCAACUUCGGAGGGGGCGCUGGCCUAAGUUCCUUGGAACAGGACGUCACAGAGGGUGAGAAUCCCGUGCUUGGCUGGCUGUCCUCCUUCAUGUGAAGUGUCUUCGACGAGUCGAGUUGUUUGGGAAUGCAGCUCAAAAUGGGUGGUAAAUUCCAUCUAAAGCUAAAUAUUGGCGAGAGACCGAUAGCGAACAAGUACAGUGAUGGAAAGAUGAAAAGAACUUUGAAAAGAGAGUGAAAAAGUACGUGAAAUUGUUGAAAGGGAAGGGCUUGAAAUCAGACUUGGUAUUCAAUGAUCAAUUUUCUUUCGGGGAGAUGCACUCGUUGUUUACUGGGCCAACAUCGAUUUAGACGGUGAGAUAAUGACAGUUGAAUGUGGCUUGCUUCGGUAAGUGUUAUAGCUUCUGUUGAUAUCAUCAGUUUGGAUCGAGGACUGCGCAUUUUUGCUAGGAUGUUGGCGUAAUGAUUUUAAGCCACCCGUCUUGAAACACGG
rnacentral:rRNA from 1 species